AGAGUUUGAUCCUGGCUCAGGACGAACGCUGGCGGCGUGCUUAACACAUGCAAGUCGAACGGAAAGGCCCUUCGGGUACUCGAGUGGCGAACGGGUGAGUAACACGUGGGUGAUCUGCCCUGCACUCUGGGAUAAGCCUGGGAAACUGGGUCUAAUACCGGAUAGGACCGCAUGCUUCAUGGUGUGUGGUGCAAAGCUUUUGCGGUGUGGGAUGAGCCCGCGGCCUAUCAGCUUGUUGGUGGGGUAAUGGCCUACCAAGGCGACGACGGGUAGCCGGCCUGAGAGGGUGACCGGCCACACUGGGACUGAGAUACGGCCCAGACUCCUACGGGAGGCAGCAGUGGGGAAUAUUGCACAAUGGGCGCAAGCCUGAUGCAGCGACGCCGCGUGAGGGAUGACGGCCUUCGGGUUGUAAACCUCUUUCAGUAGGGACGAAGCGAAAGUGACGGUACCUACAGAAGAAGGACCGGCCAACUACGUGCCAGCAGCCGCGGUAAUACGUAGGGUCCGAGCGUUGUCCGGAAUUACUGGGCGUAAAGAGCUCGUAGGUGGUUUGUCGCGUUGUUCGUGAAAACUCACAGCUUAACUGUGGGCGUGCGGGCGAUACGGGCAGACUAGAGUACUGCAGGGGAGACUGGAAUUCCUGGUGUAGCGGUGGAAUGCGCAGAUAUCAGGAGGGACACCGGUGGCGAAGGCGGGUCUCUGGGCAGUAACUGACGCUGAGGAGCGAAAGCGUGGGUAGCGAACAGGAUUAGAUACCCUGGUAGUCCAA
rnacentral:rRNA from 1 species